rnacentral:rRNA from 1 species
UGGGGAAUAUUGGACAAUGGGCGAAAGCCUGAUCCAGCCAUGCCGCGUGUGUGAAGAAGGUCUUCGGAUUGUAAAGCACUUUAAGUUGGGAGGAAGGGCAGUAAGCGAAUACCUUGCUGUGUUGACGUUACCGACAGAAUAAGCACCGGCUAACUCUGUGCCAGCAGCCGCGGUAAUACAGAGGGUGCAAGCGUUAAUCGGAAUUACUGGGCGUAAAGCGCGCGUAGGUGGUUCGUUAAGUUGAAUGUGAAAGCCCCGGGCUCAACCUGGGAACUGCAUCCAAAACUGGCGAGCUAGAGUAGGGCAGAGGGUGGUGGAAUUUCCUGUGUAGCGGUGAAAUGCGUAGAUAUAGGAAGGAACACCAGUGGCGAAGGCGACCACCUGGGCUCAUACUGACACUGAGGUGCGAAAGCGUGGGGAGCAAACAGG